rnacentral:rRNA from 1 species
CAAUACUUAGUGGCAGACGGGUGAGUAACAUGUAGGUAUCUUCCCUUUGGUGAGGAAUAACACGAGGAAACUUGUGCUAAUACCUCAUAAGUCUUUACAGAGAAAGCUUUAUGCGCCGAAGGAUGAGCCUGCACUUGAUUAGUUUGUUGGUGGGGUAAUGGCCUACCAAGACUUUGAUCAAUAGCUGAUCUGAGAGGAUGAUCAGCCACAUUGGGACUGAGACACGGCCCAAACUCCUACGGGAGGCAGCAGUAGGGAAUAUUGCACAAUGGAGGAAACUCUGAUGCAGCGAUGCCGCGUGAGUGAAGAAGGCCUUUGGGUUGUAAAGCUCUUUCGUCGGGGAAGAAAAUGACUGUACCCGAAUAAGAAGGUCCGGCUAACUUCGUGCCAGCAGCCGCGGUAAUACGAAGGGACCUAGCGUAGUUCGGAAUUACUGGGCUUAAAGAGUUCGUAGGUGGUCAAAAAAGUUGGUGGUGAAAUCCCAGAGCUUAACUCUGGAACUGCCAUCAAAACUUUUUGGCUAGAGUAUGAUAGAGGAAAGCAGAAUUUCUAGUGUAGAGGUGAAAUUCGUAGAUAUUAGAAAGAAUACCAAUUGCGAAGGCAGCUUUCUGGAUCAUUACUGACACUGAGGAACGAAAGCAUGGGUAGC